rnacentral:rRNA from 1 species
GAUACAUCAGUGGCGGACGGGUGAGUAACGCGUUGGUAAUUUGCCUCGAAGUGGGGGAUAACAUCUGGAAACGGGUGCUAAUACCGCAUAUGUGCUAGCUUGUGAUAGUUAGUAUGAAAGAUUUAUUGCUUCGAGAUAAGCCUGCGUAUGAUUAGUUAGUUGGUGGGGUAAUGGCCCACCAAGACGAUGAUCAUUAGUUGGUCUGAGAGGAUGGCCAGCCACAGUGGGACUGAGACACGGCCCACACUCC